rnacentral:misc_RNA from 1 species
GUAGAAGCUCGCUGGGCAAACCUAAGAGCGGGUCCGCGAACCCUCACCGAGCGGGAGGCGCAUGAACUAGCCGCGCCGUGGCAUGACCGUUGGCUCGCAACCUACAAAGACAAUCCGAGUGCCCAGACGACAUGGCGCGUCGAUCUGGCGGACCGCUUAUGGGUCGCCCCGCCGCCUUUCGAAGCAGCGACCUUAUCGGUGAACUUCCUAUCGGAAGUUGGCGCCGAUGAAUCGAAGCUUCGUGA